rnacentral:rRNA from 1 species
UACGUAGGGGGCAAGCGUUGUCCGGAAUCAUUGGGCGUAAAGAGCGUGUAGGCGGUUCGGUAAGUCGGCUGUGAAAGUCCAGGGCUCAACCCUGGGAUGCCGGUCGAUACUGCCGGACUAGAGUUCGGAAGAGGCGAGUGGAAUUCCCGGUGUAGCGGUGAAAUGCGCAGAUAUCGGGAGGAACACCAAUUGCGAAGGCAGCUCGCUGGGACGUUACUGACGCUGAGACGCGAAAGCGUGGGGAGCAAACAGG